rnacentral:rRNA from 1 species
AGUGAACGCUGGCGGUAGGCCUAACACAUGCAAGUCGAACGGCAGCACAGUAAGAGCUUGCUCUUACGGGUGGCGAGUGGCGGACGGGUGAGGAAUACAUCGGAAUCUACUUUUUCGUGGGGGAUAACGUAGGGAAACUUACGCUAAUACCGCAUACGACCUACGGGUGAAAGCAGGGGAUCUUCGGACCUUGCGCGAUUGAAUGAGCCGAUGUCGGAUUAGCUAGUUGGCGGGGUAAAGGCCCACCAAGGCGACGAUCCGUAGCUGGUCUGAGAGGAUGAUCAGCCCCACUGGAACUGAGACACGGUCUAGACUCCUACGGGAGGCAGCAGUGGGGAAUAUUGGACAAUGGGCGCAAGCCUGAUCCAGCCAUACCGCGUGGGUGAAGAAGGCCUUCGGGUUGUAAAGCCCUUUUGUUGGGAAAGAAAAGCAGCAGGUUAAUACCCCGCUGUUCUGACGGUACCCAAAGAAUAAGCACCGGCUAACUUCGUG